rnacentral:rRNA from 1 species
UACGUAGGUCCCGAGCGUUGUCCGGAUUUAUUGGGCGUAAAGCGAGCGCAGGUGGUUUAUUAAGUCUGGUGUAAAAGGCAGUGGCUUAACCAUUGUAUGCAUUGGAAACUGGUAGACUUGAGUGCAGGAGAGGAGGGUGGAAUUCCAUGUGUAGCGGCGAAAUGCGUAGAUAUAUGGAGGAACACCGGUGGCGAAAGCGGCUCUCUGGCCUAUAACUGACACUGAGGCUCGAAAGCGUGGGGAGCAAACAGG